UACGGAGGGGGUUAGCGUUGUUCGGAAUUACUGGGCGUAAAGCGCGCGUAGGCGGACUAUUAAGUCAGAGGUGAAAUCCCGGGGCUCAACCCCGGAACUGCCUUUGAUACUGGUAGUCUUGAGUUCGAGAGAGGUAAGUGGAAUUCCGAGUGUAGAGGUGAAAUUCGUAGAUAUUCGGAGGAACACCAGUGGCGAAGGGCGGACUUACUGGCUCGAUACUGACGCUGAGGUGCGAAAAGCAUGGGGGAGCGAAACAGGAUUAGAUACCCGGGUAGUCC
rnacentral:rRNA from 1 species